UACGUAGGGUGCGAGCGUUAAUCGGAAUUACUGGGCGUAAAGCGUGCGCAGGCGGUUUUGUAAGUCUGUCGUGAAAGCCCCGGGCUCAACCUGGGAAUGGCGAUGGAGACUGCAAGGCUCGAAUCUGGCAGAGGGGGGUAGAAUUCCACGUGUAGCAGUGAAAUGCGUAGAGAUGUGGAGGAACACCGAUGGCGAAGGCAGCCCCCCUGGGUCAAGAUUGACGCUCGAUGCACGAAAGCGUGGGGAGCAAACAGG
rnacentral:rRNA from 1 species